CCACUGUUGAGAAGUCCCACAAUAGGACGAAACGGCCUUCCAGUAC
rnacentral:hammerhead_ribozyme from 1 species